GUUUUUUUAUUUUGUUUACUUUUAUUAACUAUUAUUUAAUACUUUUAAGUUAAGACAAAAAACAAUUUUAAAAAUGUGUAAAAAGUUAAAAGAAAUCGCUUCUUCAGGAGCAAAAGCUUUAGUUAGGCUGAUGAUUUUGUUUUUAAUGGUAGCUGAAUUCUUCCUGUUGUUUGCCUACUACAGAUUCCUCGGGUGGGCCUAUGAAAAGUUGUUACUUGUAACUCUCUUUUCGGGUUUUGUGUUCAUCUACAUACUGAUCAUCAUGGGUUCGAUCUCAAACAGAAUCAGCGCAUUUGUGGAAGCGACAUGGGCAUUUUAUGCAUGCUGUGCCUACUUCGUUUCAGGAUUUAUCUUCAUAUGGUUCUCAAAAUAUAAUAUUUUCUAUACAUACCAAGAAGCAGAAGGUCAAGCAAAAUUUGACGAGAAGUCGUAUUCAUUCGGUAGCAGGCUGAAUAAAAUGCUUUUCCAUGAUAGCCGAGAACCCUUGGCCAUCUGCUGUACCAUUUUGUCUUUCCUGAUUUCUAUAUUGACUCUUCUCCACAUGCUCGUAGUAAUGAAUAAAGUGGACUUGGACUCUUUGAAUAUUUACAAACAGAGAAGAUCGACAGAAAAAACAGCAAAAAUGUCAGUCAUUACUCGUGAAACCAUUUUAAACUGACCAUUAAUUUUUUGUCUUUUUUUGAAAGCAAACCCUAGAACCAAAAAAAUUUGAGACAUAACACAAAAAAUACAGUAUGGGACAGCAAAACUUGGGGAACCAACAGCCCAUUGAUAACAAUACAGAAUUUGUCUAACUCGACAUAUUUUUUAAUUUUACCUACCAUUGAAAAAUCUACUUUAACUCUACAUGAAAUAAUUUUAAUUGGAAUAAAUGCAUUAUUUGGUA
rnacentral:misc_RNA from 1 species